GACGAACGCUGGCGGCGGGCUUAACACAUGCAAGUCGAACGGAAAGGCCCUGCUUUUGUGUGGUGCUCGAGUGGCGAACGGGUGAGUAACACGUGAGUAACCUGCCCUUGACUUUGGGAUAACUUCAGGAAACUGGGGCUAAUACCGGAUAGGAGCUCCUGCAGCAUGGUGGGGGUUGGAAAGUUUGGGCGGUUGGGGAUGUACUCGCGGCUUAUCAGCUUGUUGGUGGGGUAGGGGCUUACCCAGGCUUUGAGGGGUGGCCGGCCUGAAAGGGUGACCGGCCACGUCGGGAAUGAGAUACGGCCGAGACUACUACGGGAGGCAGCAGUGGAGAAUAUUGCACCAUGGGCGGAAGCCUGAUGAAGCAACGCGGCGUGUGGGAUGACGGCCUUCGGGUUGUAAACCGCUUUCGCAUGGGACGAAGCGUGAGUGACGGUAAUGAGUAAAGAAGCCGCCGCUAACUAUG
rnacentral:rRNA from 1 species